UCUAUGUUUGACAUGCAUUCAUAAAUUUCCAUUGCAUAUUUUAUUUCCUGUUUUGUUGUAUUGUUUUAUGUAUCUAUUCUUCCAUUUCUUUGAGUUCAAUAGCAUGAGCUGCAUUUUAUCUAGUGCAGAGGAAUUACAUUAUAAUAAUUGAAAAAGGUGAAGCAAGAAGGUCAUCUGCCUUUGCCAAUACUGGUUAGACACCCAAUUCAAAAGCUUUUUCGUGUAUGGAAUGUAAUUACACAACAGAAUGUUAAGGUUCCCUCCAGUACCAAAAGGAGCAAACAACCUCAAUCUUCUCAUGUUGAUGUAAAAAAGCUCCAAAACAUAAAUGUCGAACGCAUAACUGUCACUUUGUCAUUCAUCAUGGUUUUCAGGUAUUCUGGUAAACAUUUUCAUCUCAAAUAGGAUUUGGGCAGAUUUAAUGGUA